rnacentral:lncRNA from 1 species
GUUUUGGGACUCAGACUGAGCCACUGCUGGCUUCCUUGCUCCUCAGCUUGCAGAUGCCUAUUGUGGGACUUCACCUUACAGUCAUACCCGAUGUGAAGCCUGACUGAGCAGAGUGGAGACCAGCAGCUGCACGUCAAGUGGCCUUCCCAGGACUUGACUCCAUAUGCAUGUUCUCGUCCAUGGGCUCAUACCCAGUCCAAAGGACUUUACCCCAGCUCCAUCUUUGCCCAGACACACUUGAGGCUGCAGGGUUUUGCUUCCCAAGGCCCUCACCAGAAUCAGAU